rnacentral:tRNA from 1 species
GGGGGUCCUUGGCUCGGUGGCAGAGCCUCGGCUUGGCAUGCGGAAGUUCCCUGGUUCAAUCCCCGGCAUCUCCA